rnacentral:rRNA from 1 species
UCUCUCUGAAUCUGCGAACGGCUCCGCAAACCAGUUGUAAACUAUAGCAAGCAAUCCGGGGGGUCGCCGUUAAAAAGCGGCCCUCCGGUAAUAAGGAUAACCAUGGUAAUUCUGAGGCUAAUACAAGAACGUAACCCCCGGACGACCCGCGAGGGAAAGCCGGGAGACGUACGAGUUUUACGCGAGGAGUUAUCGGGAAAGAACGUACGUCUGGACCGCGCCAAAGACGGAUGGAUCCCAUCAACCCUCACGGGUCGGGGUUCGCCCGAGCGGCUCUUGCAAUGUGCUUCUGACCUAUCAACUAGAUGGCAGCGUAAGGGACAUGCUAUGGUGACAACGGGUACAGAGGAUUAGGGUUCGAUCCUGGAGAGUGGGCCUGAGAGAUU